GGGAAGAAGAAAGCCAAAGAAGCUGCUAUUGAAGAGCUGCAGCAAUGGGGAGCGCCGCAGGUGGAACAGGAACUGCACCAGAAAGGAAGUGCACUUCUGACCUGGGGA